CCAAUUGCCCAGAAGGCAUGUGGGCCAGAGAGAGGCAGAAAAACAAAGAAAGCUAGAAAGCACCCUCAGGCCUUCUGGGUCUUGGAUUCCAACAAUAUCAUCCACCAUGUGAAAUCUGACUCCCAUAACCUCGCUAGACUACGGUGUCCAACCCCGGAAAGGACCUGUUCACAUCUGUGCUGGGCACCCUGGAGCCUUCCUCUCAUCAACACUCUGUCCUCUCCUCGGCAACAACCAGCAGUGACUGGGCUAACUGGAGUCCAGCUCCCUCCCCUACAUCAGCCUCGCCUAGAAACCCCGCAGAGACCUCCCUACUACGAAUUGCUCACUGACACCCUGAACAGAAUGAAUCGGUAAACAAAUUCUUACCUGCAGCGGUCUCCGUAAAUACAGUACCCUCGCUGAA